ensembl:lncRNA
CUUUCUGGAGAUUGCUCCUCCUGGAGUUUUUCCUGUGAGCCUAUGACACAGGACUAAGAAAAACUCUGUUUUCUCGGGCUUCAAGGAGGGAUAAACUGAAAAUGUUGUUUUGAGGCCUGAAUCUUUCUUCUCAUAACAAAAUGCUACUACGCAUUAAGUGUGAUGCAGCUACAAACUAGAGUUAAAUCAGGAAAUGAUGGAUGUCAUGGCAGGAAGGAAUGCUCCAGCUGAAUCAUGAUAUUACAGUAUAUGCUUUCUCUGACAUAAUUAAGCAUUCCACUGCUGAAUGAAACUGUGCAGGAGAACUCUGCAGUACCUGUGAAACUCACUACAGUGUUGCGGGGCUAUACUUGAAGGUUAAAGUACUUUUCAGUCAGUAAGACCUUCACCAUACAUUUGAAAUGGAAUUAAUAAACCUCAUUUGAGUUCCUCUUUUGCUUACUACACAGAUUGUUCCUUUUGAAGCAGUUGGGACAAGAAAGCAAUGUGUAUUGGGUCGUAAAUAUACUAUGUAAAGUGGUGCUUUGAAUGGGGGGGGGGGAGGGGAACACUGAAAUAACAAGCAUAAUUGGUGGUCUCCUAAAUUUUCCUCAUGUGCUUUCAUUUUUUUCUGUCUUGAAGAUGAAGGGAUGCUUUUACAGUCCUUUAUUGUUCUUCGAUCUGUAUUUUUACUGUGAACUUUACAUUUUCAUCUACAGGAUGAAGAUAUAAAUUCAUUUAUGCUAUAUAGUACUCAGUGGCAAUCUUGAAAAAACUUGUUUGUAUGCUUUCCAGCCUUUUCCAUAAAGCAGAAAUAAUACCAAAUUUUGUAUGAGACCAUUCUAUACAAACAAAAAAUACUUGAACCAGGAGCUCUGAUGGUGUUUUUGUAAGCACAUAACUUUUUUUUAAUUCCAAAAAUAGAUUUUUUUGUUGCUGUAACAGUAUACAAACACUUUGUUGUUUUAUAUAACAUGAAGAAAACAUUCCAGUUUUAUUUACUAAUUAUUUACUAUUAAUUAUUUAUUAAGUCAUUAUUCGUCUCAAUCUAGUUGAAUGUAUUUUGUGAAUCAUUUUAGUACUUUUGGUUGAAAUUAUAUCGUGUACUCUUCUGUGUAAAUCUAAGUUCCUCUUUCCCCUUUGAUAAAACCAAGUAGAUCAGCGUAGUCUGGUUUAAUGCUUUUAUAGAUAAUUACUAAAACAGAAAUCUGCUGCUAGAGGUUUAUUUUUCUGACUACGUGCAGCGGUAUAAAAUUCCCCAAAUAACAUAAAGCUUUGUGAUACUGACAUUCUACUGAGAGAGUAUCUUGAAGUAUUCACUUCUAAAAAUUAAAAGAAUGAAGAAUUUACC